rnacentral:rRNA from 1 species
UNUGACUUGAGUGCAGAAGGGGAGAGUGGAAUNCCAUGUGUAGCGGUGAAAUGCGUAGAUAUAUGGAGGAACACCAGUGGCGAAAGCGGCUCUCUGGUCUGUCACUGACGCUGAGGCUCGAAAGCGUGGGUAGCGAACAGGAUUAGAUACCCUGGUAGUCCACGCCGUAAACGAUGAGUGCUAGGUGUUAGGCCCUUUCCGGGGCUUAGUGCCGGAGCUAACGCAAUAAGCACUCCGCCUGGGGAGUACGACCGCAAGGUUGAAACUCAAAGGAAUUGACGGGGGCCCGCACAAGCGGUGGAGCAUGUGGUUUAAUUCGAAGCAACGCGAAGAACCUUACCAGGUCUUGACAUCCCGAUGCUAUUCUUAGAGAUAGGAAGUUACUUCGGUACAUCGGAGACAGGUGGUGCAUGGUUGUCGUCAGCUCGUGUCGUGAGAUGUUGGGUUAAGUCCCGCAACGAGCGCAACCCUUAUUGUUAGUUGCCAUCAUUAAGUUGGGCACUCUAGCGAGACUGCCGGUAAUAAACCGGAGGAAGGUGGGGAUGACGUCAAAUCAUCAUGCCCCUUAUGACCUGGGCUACACACGUGCUACAAUGGUCGGUACAACGAGUUGCGAGCCGGUGACGGCAAGCUAAUCUCUGAAAGCCGAUCUCAGUUCGGAUUGGAGGCUGCAACUCGCCUCCAUGAAGUCGGAAUCGCUAGUAAUCGCGGAUCAGCACGCCGCGGUGAAUACGUUCCCGGGCCUUGUACACACCGCCCGUCACACCACGAGAGUUUGUAACACCCGAAGUCGGUGAGGUAACCUUUUAGGGGC